ensembl:lncRNA
GAAGAACAGUGAAGCUUCAGGGAAGUGGAUCACUAAGGAAAGCAGGGUGUGCAAAGGACCUGGGGCUAGAAGGGCCUGGACAGGUGUAACUGCUCUCCAGGGAUGCAGCUGUGAAAGAGGCGAGGACUCAGCUCACUCCAGAGCCGACGGAACUCAGAGAAGCAGAGUCGCCGGACCAAGCACUGCCCAAGAAGAGGGAUGGGGACCAGGCGGUGCCGGGCUACGGUGGUCCUCCGGGUGCCAUAAAUGCUAAAAUCACCCAUCUCCUGUAAUCCUGCAUCUGUGCUCUCAAGAGUGAGAUGGUUAAGUUCACCGCUUUGUGGAGCUGGCUGCGGAUGGCUUCUGUGUGGUCCUCUGUCCCGGGAGAAGAUAGAGCGCAGGCUGAUGGGAAGGCUCAGCCGGUGAAGACACUCGCUUCCACACCUGUGGCCUGAGUGCAAUCCUGGUGAGCUUCAUGGUGGAAGCAGAGAACUGAGGCCAUAAGGAGUCCUCUGACUGCUACAUCUGUGCCUCGCACACUCUCCCAGUAACUAAAACUGUCAUUAAAACCUUAAAAGGGGCUGGAGGGAUGGCUCAGCGGUUAAGAGCACUGCCCGCUCUUCCAGAGGUCAUGAGUUCAAAUCCCAGCAACCACACGGUGGCUCACAACCAUCUGUAAUGGGAUCGGAUGCCCUCUUCUAGUGUGUCUGAAGACAGCGACGGUGUACCCACAUACAUAAAAUAAAUAA